rnacentral:lncRNA from 1 species
AAAAAGAAGACUUGUUAUCAUCAUUGCUUGCCAUUUCCAGCCUUCACAGUGCGAAACUGAUCCGGCCUAGUGACUUGCGGUGAUUUCACUGGUUCUGUGGUAGGAACGCUUUGUAAGCUUUCGCGAGUUUCAGAAACUCUGUGUUUUGCAACGCACAAGUGAGUUCACUUGUAUUCUUGGUUUGAACAGACUCGAAAGUCAUCCACGUGGAAUCCACGAACACAAGAACCGCU